AGAUACCCUGGUAGUCCACGCCGUAAACGAUGAAUGCUAGGUGUUAGGGGGGUCCAACCCCUUAGUGCUGAAGGCAACCCAUUAAGCAUUCCGCCUGGGGAAUACGACCGCAAGGUUGAAACUCAAAGGAAUUGACGGGGGCCCGCACAAGCAGUGGAGCAUGUGGUUUAAUUCGAAGCAACGCGAAGAACCUUACCAGGUCUUGACAUCCUCCGCGAGCCGGAGAGAUCCGGGGUUCCCCUUCGGGGGACGGAGUGACAGGUGGUGCAUGGUUGUCGUCAGCUCGUGUCGUGAGAUGUUGGGUUAAGUCCCGCAACGAGCGCAACCCUUAAGCCCGGUUGCCAGCAUUAAGUUGGGCACUCGGGGCUGACUGCCGGUGACAAACCGGAGGAAGGUGGGGAUGACGUCAAAUCAUCAUGCCCCUGAUGAUCUGGGCGACACACGUGCUACAAUGGGCGGUACAAAGGGCAGCGAAGCCGCGAGGCGGAGCGAAUCCCGGAAAGCCGCCCCCAGUUCGGAUUGCAGGCUGCAACCCGCCUGCAUGAAGCCGGAAUUGCUAGUAAUCGCGGAUCAGCAUGCCGCGGUGAAUCCGUUCCCGGGCCUUGUACACACCGCCCGUCACACCACGAGAGUGAGUAACACCCGAAGUCGGUGGGGGAACCGCAAGGACCCAGCCGCCGAAGGUGGGACGCAUGAUUGGGGUGAAGUCGUAACAA
rnacentral:rRNA from 1 species